GGUUCAGGAUGAACGCUAGCGACAGGCUUAACACAUGCAAGUCGAGGGCAGCAUAAAAGUAGCAAUACUUGGUGGCGACCGGCGCACGGGUGAGUAACGCGUAUGCAACCUACCUAUCAGAGGGGAAUAACCCGGCGAAAGUCGGACUAAUACCGCAUAAAACAGGGGCACCGCAUGGUGAUAUUUGUUAAAGAAAUUCGCUGAUAGAUGGGCAUGCGUUCCAUUAGGUAGUUGGUGAGGUAACGGCUCACCAAGCCGACGAUGGAUAGGGGAACUGAGAGGUUGGUCCCCCACACUGGUACUGAGACACGGACCAGACUCCUACGGGAGGCAGCAGUGAGGAAUAUUGGUCAAUGGGCGAGAGCCUGAACCAGCCAAGUCGCGUGAAAGGAAGAAGGAUCUAUGGUUCGUAAACUUCUUUUGCAGGGGAAUAAAGUGCAGGACGUGUCCUGUUUUGUAUGUACCCUGAGAAUAAGGAUCGGCUAACUCCGUGCCAGCAGCGGC
rnacentral:rRNA from 1 species